AAUCGCACGACGUCUAACUUAAUCAUCCAUUCCACGAAGCGGACCGGACAAAAGUAAAGCCCAGAGUUGUAUGGACGAUGAAACACAACAGCUACUAAAAACAAAGACAAGAAAAUACGU